rnacentral:rRNA from 1 species
GACGAACGCUGGCGGCGUGCUUAACACAUGCAAGUCGUACGGUAAGGCCCUUUCGGGGGUACACGAGUGGCGAACGGGUGAGUAACACGUGAGUAACCUGCCCACAACUUUGGGAUAACGCUAGGAAACUGGUGCUAAUACUGGAUAUGUGCUCCUGCUGCAUGGUGGGGGUUGGAAAGCUCCGGCGGUUGUGGAUGGACUCGCGGCCUAUCAGCUUGUUGGUGGGGUAGUGGCCUACCAAGGCGGCGACGGGUAGCCGGCCUGAGAGGGUGACCGGCCACAUUGGGACGGAGAUACGCCCCAGCCUCCUACGGGAGGCAGAAGGGGGGAUGAUUGCACAAGGGGCGCAGGCCGGAUGCAGAACCCCCGCGGGGGGGAGGACGGCCUUCGGGUUGAAACCCGCUUUCAGCGGGGACGAAGCUUUUUGUGACGGUACCUGAAAAAGAAGCCCCGGCUAACUACGUC